CUGGUACUGAGACACGGACCAGACUCCUACGGGAGGCAGCAGUGAGGAAUAUUGGUCAAUGGGAGAGAUCCUGAACCAGCCAAGCCGCGUGAGGGAAGACGGCCCUAUGGGUUGUAAACCUCUUUUGUCGGAGAACAAAACCCGGGACGAGUCCCGGACUGCGUGUAUCCGAAGAAAAAGCAUCGGCUAACUCCGUGCCAGCAGCCGCGGUAAUACGGAGGAUGCGAGCGUUAUCCGGAUUUAUUGGGUUUAAAGGGUGCGUAGGCGGUCUGUUAAGUCAGCGGUAAAAUUGCGGGGCUCAACCCCGUCGAGCCGUUGAAACUGGCAGACUUGAGUUGGCGAGAAGUACGCGGAAUGCGCGGUGUAGCGGUGAAAUGCAUAGAUAUCGCGCAGAACUCCGAUUGCGAAGGCAGCGUACCGGCGCCAGACUGACGCUGAGGCACGAAAGCGUGGGGAUCGAACAGGAUUAGAUACCCUGGUAGUCCACGCAGUAAACGAUGAAUGCUGGUUGUCCGGGUCGAAUGAGACCUGG
rnacentral:rRNA from 1 species